rnacentral:rRNA from 1 species
UACGGAGGGUGCAAGCGUUAAUCGGAAUUACUGGGCGUAAAGCGUGCGCAGGCGGUUUGCUAAGACAGGUGUGAAAUCCCCGGGCUUAACCUGGGAACUGCGCUUGUUACUGGCAGGCUUGAGUGUGGCAGAGGGGGGUGGAAUUCCACGUGUAGCAGUGAAAUGCGUAGAGAUGUGGAGGAACACCGAUGGCGAAGGCAGCCCCCUGGGCUAACACUGACGCUCAUGCACGAAAGCGUGGGGAGCGAACAGG